AUCAUCUAGCUUGUUUAAUAAUACGUCGUACAAAACCAUUAUCAGCAAAUAUUAAAUCUUAAUCAAAUGAAGCUAAUGACACAACUAAAAAUUCACCCAUUAGAUUAUUAUCAUCUAUUGAACUUGCUGAAUUUCAUCAAAUAAGUGAACAAGUAUUUCCAGCUUCAUUACAUCAUCAUGUUUGGAUUGGUAUUGUCAAUAAACCAAAACCAUUAAACACUCAAAAUUUAUAAUCUAAAAAACAUUAAUUCAGCACUGUCAUGUAUUUAAAAAUUUACAAAUAUCUGCUCAUAAUUUAAAUCAAGCAUCACCAGAUAGUCUCAGUCAAUUAGACAUUGAUGCAUUUUUAAAUGCAACAAUUUUAUGUUCAUCUGUUAUUGUUGAAGAUCAUAAAAAAGUGGAUUUUUAAAUCUACAAUCAACAAGUACCACACCAAUAAGUUCAACUGUUAUUAGAAAAAAACGUACAUCAUCAGCACAGCCACCAAUAAAUUGUCCAUUAUCAUCACCAAUAUCAACACAAGCACUGGAACGUAUUGAUGAUUCAGGGUUUUGGUGACAGGUUACUAUCAGAAAUACGAAAAAUGUCACCAAAAGACAUAAAAAUCAGGAUAUCAGCACCACAAGAACGUUUGUACAGUACGUGGAUUGGUGGUAAAUUGUUUAUACUAACAUCAAAUUGUGUAUUACAAAAAGACAUUGCAAUGCAGCUGUUAGUUAAAUGGUAUGGUGCUAGCCAAAUGCACCUGGACAACAAGAUUUUACAUCAUUAACAUCUGAUAUUGAAAUGUUAAAUCGUCAUCAAAUAAUCAUGAUAUUUGUCAUAUUGUUUUGAUAAAAAAGAAACUACAAAACUUGUGUGAAAAACGCCCAGAAACAGUUACCAAUAAGUCAGUCACCAAGUAACACUGAAACCAUACACACCAUGGAGUUCUUUCUGGAAUCGAGUACUGAAAGUGUGGCAUUGAUGAAUGCAUUGACGGAAGAAUUCGUGCAAAAAAAUUGUUUAAAAAAAUCAAAUACACGUUUACAAACUUCUACGU